UGGGCAUUGACUCCAUGCUGCCCUGUAAGUCAAAAGAUGUGUUUCUGACUUCACAUUACUUUAAUUACUUGGGCAUGAUUCAAUUUGAUUUCACUUUACUUAUAUAUUACAUGGGGCCUAACCUGUCUCCUCCUAACUGGCUCUUUUUUGUUUCAAGCUAUUUGUGAAAGGAUCUGAGCUGUUUGAAAAUGAGAAAAUUAUGACGCACUUGCGCCUUUCAUGCCCCAAAUAAAGUUAUAAUAAACUACAUUUAUGAAAUUGAGGGUUUUUUAGGGUCCUGGACUUGUUGCUUACUGAAUCUGUUUGUGUAUUGCCCUUAUCUGAGGAGCCUUUUUUAAAGAUACAUAUUUUUGGGCCUCAUCAUCCUCCUCCAGGAGGUUUUUGACUCAAUGGGUCUGCAGUAGAGAUGAGGAAUCUAUUUUGACAAGUUUCUCAGAUGAUGCUUCUUGAAGCCAACUCAGCUCUGCCUAGCUGUAUAACCUUGAGCAAGUUACAUAAACUCUGUGCCUUGGUUUAAUUCUAAAAUGUGGAUAAUUAACUCCCUCCCUGGACUUGCUUUGAGGAUUAAAUGAGUGGAUACAUGCUUAGUGCUCAAUAAAUGUCAGUUGUUACUAUUUCAGUAUUGGGAUCCACUGGUAGUUCCUUUAAAAUGAGGGAAAGCUCAGAGAUUUAAAAAAACAAAACACUUUCACCUUAUCCCUGUCUGGGCUGUACAAGCCCAUACUGCUCUGUACAGACCUUAAGGUGUGUAGUUAGAAUAUGCCUCCGUUCUUGCUUUACCUCCACUCUGUGACUGAGAAUCAUUAUAUCUGAAAUACUCCUUUUUGUAUUUCAGCUGCCCUAUUCAUUAUUAGGAAAGUUAAAAGAGUUCAUAAUAUCCCAUAACUGUAAGAAACUUUGGCAAAGCCUUGCCCUCAACUUAGGACUUUAUCUUAGUGAUCAGAUUUGAAGAAUGAGAUUCCUUAUAUCUCUACUGAUAGCUGUUAUUGUUCUUUCCCAUCUCAUCCCUCCAACUACCAGCUCUCUCUAUGUUUAGCUAGGGAAGUUUUCCAUUUCUUCUAAACCCCAAAUAGGUAUCCUGUAUUGUUCACUAUAUAACUCCUUAUUUAUUUAUUUCCAAGAAUUUAUCAUAAACUGUAAUUAUUUUGUGUGUUUAUUUGCCAUUUCUCCUGCUGGGAUAUAUAGCUCCAUGAGGAUAGGAACCUUGUCUGUCGUAUUCACUGGCAAUUUUUUUUUUCGGUGCCUGGUAAGGUGUUUGGUACAUUUUAAGCGUUCAAUAAAUAUUUUAGAAUUGGUAAAUAAUUUAGAAUCUUUUAUAAUUGGUUGCCUUGUUGCUGAGUUAGGGUGUUGGGAUUACAUUUGAUGGUUCUUUUAUGAUGGACCCUUCUCUUCUCCAUUAUACGAAUAACCUGACCAGCCAGAGAAACCAAAGAUAUUCCUCAGCUGUUUUGGAUAGUCAAUGUUUACUGACAUACCCUUGUGGCUAGAUGCUUUCCUGAAUUUCUGGUCAUCCCCUGUCCUGUGACAUUUUUGAAUGGAAAAACAACAAUUUUUAUCCCACAAGGAAUUUUAAAUGAAACUUUAUACAUUUCAGAAUCUAUAAUUUUCCUUACUAAGUAGGAAACAAAGGGGACUUUGGCAAAUCAGAGAUUUUUCUUCCUGAAUUUGAUUCAUGGUUUCCUUCCAAAGGGUAAGAAAUUUGAGAUUUUGCCAGAUGGCUUGCCUUCAGCCCGGAAGCUCAUAUACUAUACGGGAUGCCCCAUGCGCUCCAGACACCUCCUGCAACUUCUGAGCAACAGUCACCGCCUCUAUAUGAAUCUGCAGCCUGUCCUGCGCCAUAUCCGGAAGCUGGAGGAAAACGAAGAGAAGAAGCAGUACCGAGAAUCUUACAUCAGUGACAACCUGGACCUUGACAUGGACCAGCUGGAAAAACGGUCACGGGCCAGCGGGAGCAGUGCGGGCAGCAUGAAGCACAAGCGCCUGUCCCGUCAUUCCACCACCAGCCACAGCAGUUCCCACACCUCGGGCAUUGAGGCAGACACCAAGCCCCGGGACACGGGGCCAGAAGACAGCUACUCCAGCAGUGCCAUCCACCGCAAGCUGAAAACCUGCAGCUCAAUGACCAGUCAUGGCAGCUCCCACACCUCAGGGGUGGAGAGUGGCGGCAAAGACCGGCUGGAAGAGGACUUACAGGACGAUGAAAUAGAGAUGUUGGUUGAUGACCCCCGGGAUCUGGAGCAGAUGAAUGAAGAGUGUCUGGAAGUCAGCCCAGACAUGUGCAUCUACAUCACGGAGGACAUGCUCAUGUCACGGAAGCUGAACGGACACUCUGGGUUGAUUGUGAAAGAAAUUGGGUCUUCCACCUCGAGCUCUUCAGAAACAGUUGUUAAGCUUCGUGGCCAGAGUACUGAUUCUCUUCCACAGACUAUAUGUCGGAAACCAAAGACCUCCACUGAUCGACACAGCUUGAGCCUCGAUGACAUCAGACUUUACCAGAAAGACUUCCUGCGCAUUGCAGGUCUGUGUCAGGACACUGCUCAGAGUUACACCUUUGGAUGUGGCCAUGAACUGGAUGAGGAAGGCCUCUAUUGCAACAGUUGCUUGGCCCAGCAGUGCAUCAACAUCCAAGAUGCUUUUCCAGUCAAAAGAACCAGCAAAUACUUUUCUCUGGAUCUCACUCAUGACGAAGUUCCAGAGUUUGUUGUAUAAAGUCCGUCUGUGUGCAGCUGUACAGGCAGCUUACUGUUUGCUAGAGGAUGCGAAAGUCAUAGGUUCUUUACGUAUUACUUGUGCCAUAUCUUCUUCACCCUAAACAUAGCUCUUUCUUUAUAAUAUUUGUGAUGAUGGAAACAAAAGCCUUGGAACAAUUGCACUUUAAGUAUUACACAGAAGUAAAAGAACUACAGAAAAUGUACAGCAAGACAAGUGCCUGGAAGUUCACUGAUCCUUCAGAAGGAAAUGCGCUUUACUGAUUACAAAGCCUUCGGAAUAUUGGAGUGUGGUGUGUUUGCUCAUCUGAUGCUUUUUAGUUCAGUUACAUGUAACAUCACAUUUUUUUAUCACGUGAAAGAUGUUAGAUUUGUUUGCUUAUAAAUUUUUUACCACUCCCUCAUAAAAUGCUCAUAGUUUGGGAGAGGAAAGAGGGAAGAUUCUGUCUUCUUUUAACAGAGAGAUGGUUGCUCUAUAUACCCAUUGCUUCCUCCCUGAGGCUGUCCCAAAGUGAACACUGAUGGAGUGGUCAAAAUCAUGAGGUUGUAGCAAGCCAAAGAUACGUACAUGACGGAAGCACAUAAGCAAUAAGCAGAAAACCAGAAGUGCAUGCUGUGAUGCCUGUGACUCCUUCAUCCCGCUCAGUGCCAUGUCCUCUUCUGUGAUCUUCUAGAAAGCUCCAGGAUUCAUUUGAGUUCCACAUCCAAGUAACAGAUGAAUUCUAUUCACGUUGUAAUGCAUUUUGUGGAGUUUACAAAACCAGUGUCUGUUAAAACUUUGGAAAAUGUCUUAGAAAACGUUGGUGCUUGGUGAUGCUUUAUUUGUUUAAUUAUCAAGAACAAAUUAUGGCAAUGCUAGUUUCUGCUUAACCAAAAUACUCUGUGUAUAUAUUAUACAUAUAUAAAUACAUGGGAUUGUGUAUGUUUAUAUGUGUUUAAAGCUUACUAUGUCUUCAUUUUGGCUUCCAUGACUAUCUUUUAUACAUGGAAUUCCUUAAGAUUGAGAAUAUGUCACUGAGUGAAUGAUACCUGCAGACAAUCAGUUGAUAUAUGUAGAGUUCAGAGUGACUGUUUCCUCAUGUGCCUUUGGCCAUGAUUCUCAACACUGACUGUAUAACAGAAUUUUGGGGGAGCUUUUAGAAAAUAAUGACUGAGUCUCCCACCAGACCAAUUACAUCAUUCUCUUGUGGCGAGACCCAGGUAGAGUUGCCUUUUAAAGUUCUCCAGAUGGAGCUAAUAUGCAACAGUUGAAAACCACUGAUCCUGGGGGUGUCUUUUGUUAAUUUUGAAGUAAAAGUGUACAGAAGACGUAGUGUAUGAGAAAGGGCCAUUUUUAAGACAGUUACCUGUUGUGCUGCUGUUACAAUAUAUAAUGAAACCAAGUCAGGGGAGUGAAUUUAUCAAUCUUUUGAUGUACAGUAAAAACGUUGCUCACACUUCAGGAGAGAACUUCAUAGCACAAUGUCUUUCUAUAAGAUAUUUUUAAUGAUUUAGUAUUUUACAACAUUUGUUUACCAUAUUUUGAUAUACCAUUUUUUUCUAUCUGCCCGGUUUUAUUAAAAAAACUAUAUAUUAUCUAAAGAAACAAUCAUAUUUUUAUACAAAAUUAUGUUUUCAGGUAACGAAAUAGAUUUAGGGUACAGCGGAACAUAAACAGUGUUACCCGUGGCUGGGAGUCAGUAUUAUACAACAAAUGGUGAGCUGGAACAUGCCCCGCCUGUGCUGUCCCUCCUGUGCUGGGUCGCGGAUGUGUAGGUAACAUUGCCUCAUCACGUUAGGUUCACCUGACACUUUAAAAGGAAAAAAAGUUCCAUAGAGUUCUGUGGUCACAAAAUUGUUUUGCUUUUAUCAAAUACUUUAAUAGAACCAAAGUUGGAGAUAUUGGAAUGUAUGGAAGUAUCUCAGUCUCUGCAUAAAAGGAUUAAAGUAUGAAAGGAUCAUUUAAUGACUGUUUUACUUAUAAGUCAUUAAGUAAUCCACCAUUUCUUAUGGAUGAUGCUUAAGCCUGGUGAGAUUUGUACUCUGAGGAGCCCAGAUCAUAAUGCAGUGCAUUUCCUUAGCCCUUAGAGUUUCUUGCAGACAUUUAAAAAAAGACAUAUUUAAGAAAGAAAGAUAAAGAAAAAACAUAUUUAAUUACUGUAAACAGGUACUGCUUUAUACUUUAUUUUCUCGCUACUUCAACCAAAAUCAGAUCUUUAAGGUUUUGCUGACAUUGUUGGUGGUUUUGCACACACUCUUUCUAAUUGGAUUUCUGAAUAGUCCUAUGGGUUUUCAAAGAUGAAUCAUGCUAAGAACACUUUUGCUUUUUGAUCCACUGUUUGCAGCAGAAUUAUAUAUAUGUAUAUGAAAAAUCCACUUUGAAUAAUCCAUAUUUUGUAUUUGGAAAUUGUUUUUAAAAAUAAAAAGGAAAAGAAAUAU
rnacentral:sRNA from 1 species